rnacentral:lncRNA from 1 species
UACUUUAACGAAGAAAACAUAACAAAGAUGCAUAAGAACUAGCUAACUAAGGCGCAUAAAUAUGCUCCUAUCAGACAUACCCUUGGAUGCCGUGGGCCCUAGUAAGGAGUGAAUGAGGUCUUCGUCUGGCUGUACGACGUUAAAGCAAGCGCUACUUAGGAGGCAACCCAUGCAUUCAACAAAGGAGGACAUAGAUAGCACUCCAAUUCCAGAUUUGCGUUCCUAAACUCUUCUCUUUGUUGUUAAAUUUGUUUCUGCUAUGUUAGGUUGUUUAGAUGUUGUUUUGUUUGUUUGUUUGUUAUUUGUGUGAGUCUAUGCUUGAAACAUUGAGGACAAUGUUUGAUUUAAGUGUGGGGGGGUAACCAAAGUGUUU